rnacentral:rRNA from 1 species
CCCUUAGAUGUUCUGGGCCGCACGCGCGCUACACUGACGAAUGCAACGAGCUUAUAACCUUGGCCGACAGGUCUGGGUAAUCUCCAAAUUUCGUCGUGAUGGGGAUAGAUUAUUGCAAUUAUUAAUCUUCAACGAGGAAUGCCUAGUAAGCGCAAGUCAUCAGCUUGCGUUGAUUACGUCCCUGCCCUUUGUACACACCGCCCGUCGCUCCUACCGAUUGAAUGGUCCGGUGAAGCGUUCGGACCGUGGCCUUUGGACGGUUCGCCGUCUGUUGGCUGCGGGAAGUUCGUUAAACCUUAUCAUUUAGAGGAAGGAGAAGUCGUAACA